AUACCUUUCUCGGCCUUUUGGCUAAGAUCAAGUGUAGUAUCUGUUCUUAUCAGUUUAAUAUCUGAUACGAGGGACAUUGUCCCUCAUGAUAUUAAUCUAAUCUUUUGCCCGGGGGCAGAGUGUUGUGCUUGCACGACCUCUGCCCGCCCAUGGCCUUGGCAUUGCACUGCCGCCUAGGCUGUGGACCGGUU
rfam:Coccomyxa subellipsoidea C-169, whole genome shotgun sequence.